rnacentral:rRNA from 1 species
UACGUAGGGUGCAAGCGUUAAUCGGAAUUACUGGGCGUAAAGCGUGCGCAGGCGGUCCUAUAAGACAGAUGUGAAAUCCCCGGGCUCAACCUGGGAACUGCAUUUGUGACUGUAGAGCUGGAGUACGGCAGAGGGGGAUGGAAUUCCGCGUGUAGCAGUGAAAUGCGUAGAUAUGCGGAGGAACACCGAUGGCGAAGGCAAUCCCCUGGGCCUGUACUGACGCUCAUGCACGAAAGCGUGGGGAGCAAACAGG